CUCAAGCGAGAGCUUGGUAAGGGUAGAGGGCAGCAGCAGUUUGGCCUCAUUUUGUCUGCUGUAAAUCAAUUCCAUCGUCCCCUCAUGCGCCUCCAACCAUCUCUCCCAGACAGCGGUUAUAUCCACGUUGGCGGCAGGUGCGCUCUUAUUAUGCUCUGCAGAGCUAGCUUCAUUACUUGAGUCAUUCGUUGCGGCUUUGGAAUUCAUCAUUGCUUUUUCAUUGUUGACUAAGGGCCGUUGAUAUAGGAAGAUAGACCAUGUCUCCAUCCUUUUAGUCAUGAUCAUUAGUCCUUUUUCAUUGUUGACUGAGGACUCCCGAUCUUGCUGCAGAAACCAUUUCGGCAUCCUUUUGCUCAUGACCUGCUUCAUGGAUGUCUUCUCUUCUUGGCUCAUCUGCAGGUCUUCAUUUGUUACGAGGGUGAGAAACGGCGUACGAAAUAUUGCAUUCCUCAAGCCGACCAAGUCGGUAAGGUGUGCAGGAAGUGAGCUAGCGUUUUCUACUCCCAACACCUGUAGCUGAUACAGAGUGGACACCGACUUCGGCAGCACGAACUUGCCAGUACUUGAAACUUGCAGGAUGCGAAGGUGCUUCAUUUCGCUUAUAAACUUUGAUGUCAGUUUUUCCAGAUUUAACCCCAAAGCCUGUAGCACGCGCAACUUUUUUAAGCUCUUGAAGAUGCUGGUCGCAACAUUUUUGUCUGAGACGACGCUUUGUCCUUUCGUGACGAUUAGGGUGCGAAGUUUCUUCAGUUUGCAAAUUUCCUCCUUCUUCUCAUUCAGUUUGUCAGCCGGUAUGCACAGAUGGCGAAUAGUCGACGGGAUCUCGCUUUGACAAUUACCUUCUAUUCUAACACAGUCACUGCGAGAAACUUUUUCUGCUAGAUCAUACAGCAAUUCAUGCAACGUGUAGCAGCAGACAAGCUUACCUGUCCCAGAGGAGUGGCAGAAUCUUUUAUGACGCUGAAUGUAGAAUCUGGACACCAAAUCUUUUAGGUCGCCUGCAUCCUCCAUCCUCUCAUUCCGAUCAUCCAGCUUGAUAAAACCUUGCGCCAUCCAGAGCCGAACCAGUUCUAAAGCUUUGAACUUGUAUCCUCUAGGAUACAGGCGACAGUAUGAGAAGCAACGCUUGAGAUGUGCCGGCAAAUGCCGGAAGCUCCACAUCAGUGCUUUGGUUUUGCCGCCGGACCAGUCCUCGUCUGUAAUCGUUUCCAAAUAUUCAUGCAAAUAUUCAUGCAAAUUAUCAUGCAAAUUAUCUUGGAGACUGGCCAGCUUCUUAGCGAUCGUCUUGCCGACCAUCUUGGCCGCCGUAGGGUCCUUGUUCAACUUCGCAGCCAUUGUCCUGCAUUUCUCUUUUAAAUCUUCUCUUAGGUGAGAAUCGCAUUGCCACAAUGCGUGGUGAAUGAAAAGAUCUGAGAAGUCAUUGUCUGCUAAAUCUUCCAAAUGGCAAACGUAUUCCACAGAAGCACCAUUAGGAGCAACAGUAAUAUUUCUCGGACGAUGAUCGUCCGUUUGAGACGUGAUUUCCGUUUGAGACGUGAUUUUUGUUUGAGACGUAACUAAAAUCUUGCUCCCUGGCAGACAACAACAUGUGCUUAAACAUCUCAAUAGCACAUCCCAAUUCUCCUCGCGGUCUUCUCCAUCCCGAUUCUCCUUGCGGUCUUCUCCAUCCCGAUUCUCCUUGCGGUCUUCUCCGUCGAAC
rnacentral:lncRNA from 1 species